UACGAAGGGGGCUAGCGUUGCUCGGAAUCACUGGGCGUAAAGCGCACGUAGGCGGAUUGUUAAGUCAGGGGUGAAAUCCUGGAGCUCAACUCCAGAACUGCCUUUGAUACUGGCGAUCUCGAGUCCGGGAGAGGUGAGUGGAACUGCGAGUGUAGAGGUGAAAUUCGUAGAUAUUCGCAAGAACACCAGUGGCGAAGGCGGCGACCUGGGCCGAUACUGACGCUGAGGCGCGAAAGCGUGGGGAGCAAACAGG
rnacentral:rRNA from 1 species